UGGGGAAUCUUGGACAAUGGGGGCAACCCUGAUCCAGCCAUGCCGCGUGAGUGAUGAAGGCCUUAGGGUCGUAAAGCUCUUUCGCCUGUGAAGAUAAUGACGGUAGCAGGUAAAGAAACCCCGGCUAACUUCGUGCCAGCAGCCGCGGUAAUACGGAGGGGGCGAGCGUUAUUCGGAAUUAUUGGGCGUAAAGCGCGCGUAGGCGGUUGCUUAAGUCGGAUGUGAAAGCCCCGGGCUCAACCUGGGAACUGCCUCCAAAACUAUUGGUCUAGAGUUCGAGAGAGGUGAGUGGAAUUCCAAAGUGUAGAGGUGAAAUUCGUAGAUAUUUGGAGGAACACCAGUGGCGAAGGCGGCUCACUGGCUCGAUACUGACGCUGAGGUGCGAAAAGUGUGGGGAGCAAAACAGGAUUAGAUACCCUGGUAGUCCACGCCGUAAAACGGUGGGCGCUAGGUGUGGGGAUCGUUUCCACGAUCUCCGUGCCGUAGCUAACGCAUUAAGCGCCCCGCCUGGGGAGUAC
rnacentral:rRNA from 1 species